UACGGAGGGGGCAAGCGUUGUUCGGAAUUACUGGGCGUAAAGGGCGCGCAGGCGGCUGCUCAAGUCAGGCGUGAAAGGCCUGGGCUCAACCCGGGAAUUGCGCUUGAGACUGGGCUGGCUUGAGUGCGGGAGAGGAUGGUGGAAUUCCCAGUGUAGAGGUGAAAUGCGCAGAUAUCGGGAGGAACACCAAUUGCGAAGGCAGCUCGCUGGGACGUUACUGACGCUGAGACGCGAAAGCGUGGGGAGCAAACAGG
rnacentral:rRNA from 1 species